AUACUUACCUGGCAGGGGAGAUACCAUGAUCACGAAGGUGGUUUUCCCAGGGCGAGGCUCAUCCACUGCACUCCGGAUGUGCUGACCCCUGCCAUUCCCCAGAUACGGGAAACUCAACUGCAUAAUUUGUGGUAGUGGGGGACUGCAUUUGCGUUCUCCCCUA
rnacentral:snRNA from 1 species